CAAAGUGAGGCACAGCUAGACAGAGAGAGAGGCAGGCACAGUUAGACAGAGAUGGUGACAGAAAGUGAGGCACAGCUAGAGAUAGUGACAGAAAGUGAGGCACAGCUAGAUUGAGAGACAGAGAGGCACAGCUAGACAUACAGAGAGAGAGACAUGGGCACAGCUAGACAUACAGAGAGAGACAUGGGUACAGCUAGACUGAGAGAGAGGCGGGCACAGCUAGACAGAGAGCUGGGUACAGCUAGACUGAGAGAGAUAGAGGCACAGCUAGACAUACAGAGUGAGAAACAAGGGCACAGGUAGACCGAGAGACAGAGACAUGAGCAUAGCUAGACAGAGAGAGAGGGAGACAUGGGCACAGCUAGAUAUAGAGAGAAUGAGACACACAUAGACAUAGAGAGACAUGGACACAGCCAGACAUAGAGUGCUGGGAAAAACUAGACAUAGAGAGAGAGCUGGGCACACCCAUAAAUAGAAAGAGAGCUGGGCACACCCAGACAUAGAGAG